rnacentral:rRNA from 1 species
CCUACGGGAGGCAGCAGUGGGGAAUUUUGGACAAUGGACGCAAGUCUGAUCCAGCCAUGCCGCGUGCGGGAAGAAGGCCUUCGGGUUGUAAACCGCUUUUGUCAGGGAAGAAAAGUUUGGGGCUAAUAACUCCGGACGAUGACGGUACCUGAAGAAUAAGCACCGGCUAACUACGUGCCAGCAGCCGCGGUAAUACGUAGGGUGCAAGCGUUAAUCGGAAUUACUGGGCGUAAAGCGUGCGCAGGCGGUUCUAUAAGACAGAUGUGAAAUCCCCGGGCUCAACCUGGGAACUGCAUUUGUGACUGUAGAGCUGGAGUACGGCAGAGGGGGAUGGAAUUCCGCGUGUAGCAGUGAAAUGCGUAGAUAUGCGGAGGAACACCGAUGGCGAAGGCAAUCCCCUGGGCCUGUACUGACGCUCAUGCACGAAAGCGUGGGGAGCAAACAGGAUUAGAUACCCUGGUAGUCCACGCCCUAAACGAUGUCAACUGGUUGUUGGGAAGGUUCCUUCUCAGUAACGUAGCUAACGCGUGAAGUUGACCGCCUGGGGAGUACGGCCGCAAGGUUGAAACUUAAAUGAAUUGACGG